rnacentral:lncRNA from 1 species
AACUCCCCAUUUUCAUUCUUUCAAGAAAAAGAAAACCCCUACCCUCUCUCCUUAUUAUCACCUGAAAACUUCAUGAAAACCACCAUAAAUUUCCGCUAAACCAACUAGCAAAAUUCGUUCUUGGUAAAGCUCAAGUUGCUCCUCUCUUUUGUGGUAAGUUACUAAACUCGUUUUUACACUAGACAGCUAUUAGUGUUUUGCUUCAUAUCCUUUUGUAUAGAGCUUUGUUUUAAGUGAUCUAAGACUUUCUGGAAAGCUAUUUCAUAGAUCUAUAACUCUUAUGAAGGAAUCAAAAUCUGGUUUGUCUUUUAUUUACCCGAAAAUAGGUGAUAAAGUAUAGGGCGGGUGCUGCCCAGAUGUUCUAUUUUACAAACCCUCCUUGUACUAUUUUUAGUAAGUUUAGCAUAACGUUUUGUACAAAAUUGAUAUGGGGGUGAUUCAAGAUAUUCUGAAACUCUAAGCCACAUAUCUACAACUGUAAAGAAGACCACACAGUCUAGUUUGUCCUUUUUCAUCUUCAAAUCUGAGUCACAACACAAGACAGUGAUACUGUCCAGAUUUUCUGUUUCAAACAUUUUGGGUAAUUUUCACCAAUAUCAUGUUUAGUUUGACAUGUUAAAUCAUUGAACUUUUAUAGAUAUUUUACAUUGUAUUUAAGGUAUAUAUAUCCCUGUAAAAGCUAAGGGGAUGUGUUUGAGGAAGUGGACGGAUUUGGUUUGUCUAGGGCGUAGACGAUUGGAACGUCCUCAAGUUGAGGUUGAACUAUUUUGUGGUAAAACAUCAAAUUUGUGUAUAAACUUUGUACUCUUUUUACUUGAUGGAAUAUUAUGAAAUAGCCUAAUAUUUUGUUUUUCUUGUCUUCAAUUAAUAGCAUUGUAUUCGUGUUAUAUCAAGUAUUGCAAGAUAUUUGCUAAAUCGCUCACUCGUACGGAUUGUUUGAUCAUUUUGCAUUCUUGUUGGGACUUUGUCCUUAUUGUGGUAGUAACUUUGUCACUCAUCUUGGCAUGCCUCUUGAUUUGGAUAUUUUGCCAUCUUGACUUUGGAUUUGUAGUUCGUCUUAAAUUAUGGAACUUGUCUGUAUUAAGUACGAACUAGGAAGCCAGUUUUAAUAUGGUUCUUGACUCUCUUGACUGUUAGGUUUUGAUCCUACUUGAUUUUGGGCUUCGGUCCAUCUUGCUAUCUGAUUUUUCUUAGUGUGAUGGCAUGACGUACAUAUUGGGCAAAAAAUGGAUAUUUGACAAGCUUUCUUGGAUUGAUAGUAUACGCUUUCUCAACUCUUGAAUCUUGAACGUUGUUAUUGAUAAUUGAAAAUACUUCAAGGGUUGAUAUUUGAUACUUUUGAUAUAUUUGUUCACUUGUUUUAAAUUAUAUUUCAUUUGAGCUACCUAUGACUGAAAAUGGAAAUUGGAGAAGUUAAUGGCUCCAAGCCCAAAAUUUAUACGCCACUAAGCUUUAUGCUUAGCUAUAGUUGUUUUCUAUCGUAUGUAAUGUACGAGAUGAAAUUUGAAGACGGCCUUAUGAAGUAGUCUUUUUGGGAGCACUUAUGGAGAUCACAUUUGCAUAUGCACCAUGGUUUUGUGUAGUUUUGGGACUUGUACAUGAUAUAUAUGUCACACUUAUGUAUGUUAUUUGGAGGCUUGGAUAUAAAGACCAAAAUCUUGUAACUUGAAUUUGGUAACUUAUUUUGCUAUUUUAAGGUGUGUUAAUAAAUGAAGUCUUGUAAUAUGUUGAAUUUACACUUUGUCUUAUAUAUAUGUACAAAGGAGAAAACUAGUUUUCCUUUUUAUACACGAUAGUUUGAAAUUUAUGUACAAUACAACUUGCAGUGAUGUUGAUUAUUCAAGAAGGGUUACAUCACCUUAUAUUGAUAUUUUGACAUUGUAUUUCAUUUUUUAAAAUAAAAUAAAGAGUAUUUUAAAAAAAAAAUAUUGCACUUUGGACCUCAUCGCAUGGACCUAUUUCCGCUACUAAAUUAUUUUGAUUAUUAUUUUUUAAUUAAUGUCUUCUUAAUGUUGUAAGUAGUAAAUUAGAUUUGUUUCGUAAGUAGCACCCCUCCCAAAGGGGUUGCUACAUUAAUGAGAUUGUGAGGCUGCAUGAAAUCCCUGUUUCUAUUGUGUCUGAUAGAGGAGAUCCAUGGUUUACAUCUAGAUUUUGGUCUAGCUUGCAAGAAGCUUUGGGUUCUAGGUUGAAUGUUAGUACUGCUUUCCAUUCACAAACAGACGGCCAGUUUGAGAGGAUAAUACAUAUCUUGGAGGAUAUGCUUCGAGCCUGCAAUAUUGAGUUUGAGGGCAGUUGGGACAAACACUUAGCCCUGAUAGAAUUUGCUUACAAUAAUAGCUACCAAUCAAGUAUAGGCAUGCCUUCUUAUAAAGAUUUAUAUAGGUGAAAAUGUAAAACGCCUCUUUGUUGGAACGAGGUUGGUGAAAGAAAAUUGGUGGGUCUUGAGAUUGUGCAACAAACUGAAGAUAAGGUAAAAAUCAUCAAGGAUCGCUUAAAAAUUACCUCAAACAGACAAAAGUCUUAUGUUGAUCUUAAGAAGCGUGAAAUUGAGUAUAGAGCGGGUGAUAAGGUAUUUUUAAAAGUUUCUCUAUGGAAGAAUAUUAUGAGAUUUAGCCAAAUAGGUAAACUUAGUCCUCGAUUUAUUGGACCUUAUGAAGUGCUUGAGAGAGUUGGUCCAAUUGCUUAUAAACUAGCUCUCCCACCAGAGCUAGACAAGAUCCACAACGUCCACCAUGUUUCUAUGCUUAGAAGAUACCGCUCAGAUGCAUCUCAUGUUCUUCCUAUAGAAUCUAUUGAGGUCAAUCCUGCUUUGACAUAUGGAGAAGAACCAAUCCAAAUCUUAGCGCGUAAGUUAAAAGAGCUUAGAAACAAGAGCAUCCCCUUAGUGAAAGUUCUUUGGAAAAAUCAUUCUGGCGAAGAAGCUACUUGGGAGAGAGAAGAGGAUAUGCGAAUUUAAUAUCCACAUUUGUUUCGGGACUAGUACAAGGUAAAUUUCGGAACGAAAUUUGUUUAAGGGAUAGAGAAUUGUAACACCCCACUUUUUUACUAAUAUUUACAUUCUCGAUUGAGCAUUUUUAUAAUGAGGAGAUAUUUUACUUCGUCUUUCCUAAACGUGAAAUUUACAAUACAUGAAAAUUCCUUACUUUAGGUUGUGUUAAUAUUGACAAAGAAGUUCCGUGGUGUUGCUAUGUGUAACACUUAAUAUUAUUUUGAUGAAUUAUUUUUAAAUACAUUAGAUAUCUAAGGUUUUGGGCAGCCACUUUUAAUUCAUAUUUAUCCAAAGUUCUUAAAGAUUACUUUGAUUGACUUGUUUUUCCAUAAACUCCUCUCAUAUUUUAUUCUUUCAAGACAAAGAAAACCCCUACCCUCUCUCCUUCUUAUUACCUGAAAAACUUCGUGAAAACUAUCAUAAUUUUUUACUAAACCAACAAGCAAAAUUCGUUCUUGGUGAAGCUCAAGUUGCUCCUCUCUUUUGUGGUAAGUUACUAAACCCGUUUUUACACUAGACAACUAUUAGUGUUUUUUUCAUAUCUUUUUAUAUAGAGCUUCGUUUUAAGUGAUCCAAGACUUUCUGAAAAUCUAUUUCAUAGAUCUAUAACUAUUAUGAAGGAACGAAAACAUGUUUUGUCAUUUAUUUACCCGAAAAUAGGAGAAGAAGUACAGGGCAGGUGCUGCCUAGAUUUUCUGUUUUACAAACCCUCAUUGUACUACUGUUAGUAAUGUUAGCAUAACAUUUUGUACAAAUUUGAUAUGGGGGGUGAUUCAAGAUAUUCUGAAACUCUAAGACACAUGUCUACAACUGUAAAGAACACAAUACAGUUUAGUUUGUCCUUUUGCAUCUUCAAAUCUGAGUCAAAACACGAGACAAUGAUACUGCCUAGAAUUUCUGUUUCAAACAUUUUGGGUAAUUUUCACCAAUAUCAUGUUUAGUUUGACAUGUUAAAUCACUGAACUUAUAUAGAUAUUUGAUUAUGUAUUUAAGGUAUAUAUACCCUUGUAAAAUCUAAGGGGAAGUGUUUGAGGAAGUGGACGGAUUUGGUUUGUCUAUGGCGUAGACGAUUCGAACGUCCUUAAGUUGUGGUUGAACUGUUUUAUGGUAAAACACCAAGGUUGGUGUAUAAACUUUGUACUCUUUUUACUUGCUGGAAUUUUUUGAAAUAACCUGAUAUUUUAUUUUUUUUGUCUUCAAUUAAUAGCAUUGUAUUCGUGUUAUAUCAAAUAUUGCAAGAUAUUUGCUAAAUCGCCCACUCGUACGGAUUGUUUGAUGAUUUUGCAUUCUUGUUGGGACUUUAUCCUUCUUGUGGCAGUGACUUUAUCACUCAUAUUGGCAUGCCUCUUGAUUUGGAUCUUUUGCCAUCUUGACUUUGGAUUUGUAGUUCGUCUUAAAUUAUGGAACUUGUCCAUGUUAAGUACGAACUAGGAAGCUAUUUUUAAUAUGGUUCUUGACUCUCUUGACUGUUGGGUUUUGACCCUACUUGAUUUUGGGCUUCGGUCCAUAUUGCUAUCUGAUUUUUCUUAAUGUGAUGGCAUGACGUACAUAUUGGGCGAAAAAUAAAUAUUUGACAAGCUUUCUUGGAUUGAUAGUAUACACUUUCUCAACUCUUGAAUCUUGAACAUUGUUAUUGAUAAUUGGAAACACUUCAAGGGUUGAUAUUUAAUACUUUUGAUAUACUUGUUCACUUGUUUUAAAUUAUGUUUCAUUUGAGCUAUCUAUGACUGAAAAUGAAAAUUGGAUAAGUUAAUGGUUCCAAGCCCAAAGUUUAUACGACACUAAACUUUAUUCUUAGCGAUAGUUGUUUUCUAUCGUAGGUAAUGUACGAGAUGAAAUUUGAAGACGGCCUUAUGAAGUAAUCUUUUUGGGAGCACUUAUGGAGAUUACAUUUGCAUAUGCA